UACUUUUUUUGAACAUCAAACUUACUGCUUGGAAGGCAGUUGUACAAAUUUAUACUGAAAAAGC
rnacentral:tRNA from 1 species